UGGGGAAUAUUGGACAAUGGGGGGAACCCUGAUCCAGCCAUGCCGCGUGUGUGAAGAAGGCCUUAUGGUUGUAAAGCACUUUAAGCGAGGAGGAGGGUACUGGUAUUAAUACUACCAGGUACUGGACGUUACUCGCAGAAUAAGCACCGGCUAACUCUGUGCCAGCAGCCGCGGUAAUACAGAGGGUGCGAGCGUUAAUCGGAUUUACUGGGCGUAAAGCGUGCGUAGGCGGCUAAUUGAGUCGGAUGUGAAAUCCCCGGGCUUAACUUGGGAAUUGCAUUCGAUACUGGUUAGCUAGAGUGUGGGAGAGGAUGGUAGAAUUCCAGGUGUAGCGGUGAAAUGCGUAGAGAACUGGAGGAAUACCGAUGGCGAAGGCAGCCAUCUGGCCUAACACUGACGCUGAGGUACGAAAGCAUGGGGAGCAAACAGG
rnacentral:rRNA from 1 species